rnacentral:rRNA from 1 species
GAUGAACGCUGGCGGCGUGCCUAAUACAUGCAAGUCGAGCGAACAGAUGAGGAGCUUGCUCCUCUGACGUUAGCGGCGGACGGGUGAGUAACACGUGGAUAACCUACCUAUAAGACUGGGAUAACUUCGGGAAACCGGAGCUAAUACCGGAUAAUAUAUUGAACCGCAUGGUUCAAUAGUGAAAGACGGUUUUGCUGUCACUUAUAGAUGGAUCCGCGCCGCAUUAGCUAGUUGGUAAGGUAACGGCUUACCAAGGCAACGAUGCGUAGCCGACCUGAGAGGGGGAUCGGCACACUGGAAAUUGGGCACGGGCCAGAACCCCAAGGGGGGGAAGAGGGGGGAAACUUGCAGAAAGGGGGAAAGCCCGAACGGGGAAAAGCCGGGGGGUGAAGAAAGGCUUUGGGUUGGUAAACCUUUUUUUUUAGGAAAAAAAAAAGGGGUAAAUAACUAUGCAGGUCUUAAGGGUACCAAAGAAGAAAGCCCGGGCAACCUCGGU